rnacentral:rRNA from 1 species
AGAGUUUGAUCCUGGCUCAGGAUAAACGCUGGCGGCGUGCCUAACACAUGCAAGUCGAACGCGCUUUGCUUCGGUGAAGCGAGUGGCGGACGGGUGAGUGACACGUGGGUACCUACCUUGAGGUGAGGAAUACCGGCGAGAAAUCGCCGACAAGACCGCAUAGGCUGCUUGCUUGACCGAGCAAGCAGCAAAGCUCUUUGGGGAGCGCCACAAGAUGGGCCUGCGGCCGAUUAGCUGGUUGGGGAGGUAAUGGCUUCCCAAGGCGUUGAUCGGUAGCUGGUCUGAGAGGAUGAUCAGCCACACUGGGAUUGAGAACGGCCCAGACUCCUACGGGGGGCAGCAGUGAGGAAUUUUCCGCAAUGGACGCAAGUCUGACGGAGCAACGCCGCGUGCAGGAGGACGGUCUUCGGAUCGUAAACUGCUUUUCUGAGGGACGAGGCAAGGACGGUACCUCAGGAAGAAGCCUCGGCUAACUACGUGCCAGCAGCCGCGGUAAGACGUAGGAGGCAAGCGUUGUCCGGAGUUACUGGGCGUAAAGCGCACGCAGGCGGUCGCUUGCGUAGACGGGGACAGGGGUCGGCUUAACUGACCCAGGCCCGGCUAAACGGGGCGACUGGAGCACGAGCAAGGGAGCGGGAAUUCCGGGUGGAGCGGUGAAAUGCGUAGAGAUCCGGAAGAACACCGAAGCGCAGGCACGCUCCUGGCUCGGAGCUGACGCUCAGUGCGAAAGCGAGGGGAGCAAACAGGAUUAGAUACCCUGGUAGUCC